rnacentral:rRNA from 1 species
UACGUAGGGCGCAAGCGUUGUCCGGAAUUAUUGGGCGUAAAGAGCUCGUAGGCGGUCUGUUACGUCCGCUGUGAAAACCCAGGGCUUAACCCUGGGCUUGCAGUGGAUACGGGUAGACUAGAGGCAGGUAGGGGAGAAUGGAAUUCCCGGUGUAGCGGUGAAAUGCGCAGAUAUCAGGAGGAACACCGGUGGCGAAGGCGGAUCUCUGGGCCUUACCUGACGCUCAGGUGCGAAAGCUAGGGGAGCGAACAGG